rnacentral:rRNA from 1 species
GACGUAGGGGACGAGCGUUGUCCGGAUUCAUUGGGCGUAAAGCGCGCGUAGGCGGCCGCGCAGGUCGGGUGUGAAAUCCCGGAGCUCAACUCCGGAACUGCACUCGAAACUGCGCGGCUUGAGGUAGGUAGGGGAGAUCGGAAUUCCUGGUGUAGCGGUGGAAUGCGCAGAUAUCAGGAGGAACACCGGUGGCGAAGGCGGAUCUCUGGGCCUUACCUGACGCUGAGACGCGAAAGCUAGGGGAGCGAACAGG